CCGGAGUGCGUCAGGAACGCCCCCACCGCCUCGUGCCUGAGGACCUCCGCCUGCGGGCACCACGUCGUGAGCAUGGCGCGGCCGUGAACCGAUGCCAGGAACUCCGGCGGCAUCACGGCCGUCUCUCCCCUAACGAGGUCCGGCCGGAUGUUCCAUAUGAACGCGUAGCCGCUGUCGGCCAGCCCCCACCCGAACUCUAGGAGCUGCUCGUUCGUCAUCACAGCGACGCUUCCGUAG
rnacentral:rRNA from 1 species